CACCCUACCACUGCACGAGAUGCACCCCACCACUGCUCAAGACACAACCUGCCACCGCACGAGACUCCUGACCAGGGCCGUGGGAAUUAGUGGAAGGAUUGAGUUGAUGGAAAUGUGAAUCUACUGAAGCAUAAGAUACGUGAUUGUAAGGAAUGGGAGGCAGAGACUUCUACUCAUGAUUAUGAGUUCGCUCAUGGAACAAGGAGUUUUUGGUAUGUUUGGAACAAGGAGUUACUCAAGCAACAAUGAUGCUCAAAUGAGGUUUGGGGGAGUGUCUUAUUAUGGAAGAUUGAUAGACAUCAUUGAACUUCACUAAAAUGGGUUCACAAUACCUAUGUUUAAAUGUGAAUAGACUAAUACCACAAACCCAAGAGGAAUGAAGAUAGACAAGUUGAGUUUUGUCUCUAUUAAUUUUUCCAUACUAAGACAUACUAGAGACCAUGAAGAUGAUGAACCAUACACUAAUGCUUCAAAAGUUAAAAUGGUUUAUUACGUGGAUGAUGAGAAGGAACAAGGUUGGAAUAUACCAAUUCAUUUGAAGCCAAGAGACUUGUACAACAUGGGAGAAAAUGAUGAAGCUAUGCCAUCCAUUGAAUCGUACCCAUCACAAAAUUUGGAUCAAAUUUUCCCUAAUGAUGCUAGUCAUAUACAAUUGGAAAGAAUGACAACAGAUGAUGAUGAACUUGAAGGCUUAACUACCAAUGUAGAUUGUAAUAAUGACAAUGAAGAAAUGGUUUUCCCUAAUGUUUUCUUUUAUAAAUUCUUUUAAGUGUAUGGACUUGUGUUUAUUAGUUAUAGGAAAUUCUUUUGAAUGUAUAUUUUUUAUCAUCUUAGAUUUAGAAGUUGAUAUUAAUUGUGGUUUAUAUUUAUAGAUAUGCUUCCUUCAAGAUAAGUUGCUUCUAGGAGUAGAUCCAUGCCAAAUCCACAAAAUGAACCUAAUGCAUCUCAUCAAAAUGAACAUGUUCCUCAACAAAGUGAGCCUAUAGCUAAUAUUGAAUCAUCUCAAGAAGAGGUACAAGUUGAGACUAAUGGGAUUGAGAAUGUACUUGAAAAUCCAUCGGUGGUUCGAAGAAAAACAUAUCCAUAUUGGAUUGUUGAUGUUAUUGAUGGGGAAGGCCAUAUAUCACAAACACGUCUACAAGUGCAAGAUGUGUUUCCAAUGACUGAUAGUCCAACAAAGAUAUUGACACAAUGGAAUAGACACAAUCAACCAGUGGAUGAUUCUUCUAGUUUGUUGGCGGGAUUUUUAGGCCAAGUUGCUUCCAACUUUGGCAACUUUCCUGUAUUGUAUGAGAAAUGGACAUAGGUUCCUAAAAAGUAUAAAAAUAAUGUUUUUGUUAACACGAUACAGGCUAAUUUUGUUGUUAACGGUGAAGAUCACAAAGAAUACAUCUUUUGGAGAUUGGGAAAGAAAUGGAAGGAAAAAUGGUAUAGAUUGUUUGAUAAAUAACAUGAUUGGGAAAAAUUCAUGGAGCAAAAUAUUCAGAAUCACCCACUGCACA